AGUGAACGCUGGCGGUAGGCCUAACACAUGCAAGUCGAACGGCAGCACAGUAAGCGCUUGCUCUUACGGGUGGCGAGUGGCGGACGGGUGAGGAAUACAUCGGAAUCUACUUUUUCGUGGGGGAUAACGUAGGGAAACUUACGCUACUACCGCAUACGACCUACGGGUGAAAGCAGGGGAUCUUCGGACCUUUCGCGAUUGAAUGAGCCGAUGUCGGAUUAGCUAGUUGGCGGGGUAAAGGCCCACCAAGGCGACGAUCCGUAGCUGGUCUGAGAGGAUGAUCAGCCACACUGGAACUGAGACACGGUCCAGACUCCUACGGGAGGCAGCAGUGGGGAAUAUUGGACAAUGGGCGCAAGCCUGAUCCAGCCAUACCGCGUGGGUGAAGAAGGCCUUCGGGUUGUAAAGCCCUUUUGUUGGGAAAGAAAAGCAGCAGGUUAAUACCCCGCUGUUCUGACGGUACCCAAAGAAUAAGCACCGGCUAACUUCGUG
rnacentral:rRNA from 1 species